rnacentral:rRNA from 1 species
UGGUGGGUAGUUUGACUGGGGCGGUCUCCUCCCAAAGAGUAACGGAGGAGCACGAAGGUUGGCUAAUCCUGGUCGGACAUCAGGAGGUUAGUGCAAUGGCAUAAGCCAGCUUGACUGCGAGCGUGACGGCGCGAGCAGGUGCGAAAGCAGGUCAUAGUGAUCCGGUGGUUCUGAAUGGAAGGGCCAUCGCUCAACGGAUAAAAGGUACUCCGGGGAUAACAGGCUGAUACCGCCCAAGAGUUCAUAUCGACGGCGGUGUUUGGCACCUCGAUGUCGGCUCAUCACAUCCUGGGGCUGAAGUAGGUCCCAAGGGUAUGGCUGUUCGCCAUUUAAAGUGGUACGCGAGCUGGGUUUAGAACGUCGUGAGACAGUUCGGUCCCUAUCUGCCGUGGGCGCUGGAGAAUUGAGGGGGGCUGCUCCUAGUACGAGAGGACCGGAGUGGACGCAUCACUGGUGUUCGGGUUGUCAUGCCAAUGGCA